rnacentral:Y_RNA from 1 species
GGCUGGACCAAAGGUAGUGAGUUAUCUUGAUUGUUCAGUUACAGAUAGAACUCCUUGUUCUACUCUUUGCCCCCUUCUCACUACUGCAUUUUGACUAGUCUUAA